rnacentral:misc_RNA from 1 species
CGGAGCCGUGUAACGGGAGACUGUUACGCAUGGUUCUAACAGCAUUCCGGACCGGGAUGUCCGGGUUUACUUAC